rnacentral:rRNA from 1 species
CGGGUGGUAAUGCCGGAUGCUCCAGUUGAUCGCAUGGUCUUCUGGGAAAGCUUUCGCGGUAUGGGAUGGGGUCGCGUCCUAUCAGCUUGACGGCGGGGUAACGGCCCACCGUGGCUUCGACGGGUAGCCGGCCUGAGAGGGCGACCGGCCACAUUGGGACUGAGAUACGGCCCAGACUCCUACGGGAGGCAGCAGUGGGGAAUAUUGCACAAUGGGCGCAAGCCUGAUGCAGCGACGCCGCGUGAGGGAUGGAGGCCUUCGGGUUGUAAACCUCUUUUAUCGGGGAGCAAGCGAGAGUGAGUUUACCCGUUGAAUAAGCACCGGCUAACUACGUGCCAGCAGCCGCGGUAAUACGUAGGGUGCAAGCGUUAUCCGGAAUUAUUGGGCGUAAAGGGCUCGUAGGCGGUUCGUCGCGUCCGGUGUGAAAGUCCAUCGCUUAACGGUGGAUCCGCGCCGGGUACGGGCGGGCUUGAGUGCGGUAGGGGAGACUGGAAUUCCCGGUGUAACGGUGGAAUGUGUAGAUAUCGGAAAAGAACACC